CUCGGCCUCCCAAAGUGCUAGGAUUACAAGCUCUUUGGCUCUUGAGUCUAUGCAUAGAGCCAUGUGUGGAUCUAAUGCAUCUCUUCGAACAGUUGAACCUUGGAGACCUACACUUAUUUUAUUCAUGCAUUCCUACACCGAUGGACAUUGGCACCUGGUUUCCUCCGCUGCAGAUAAUGCUACAUUAAACAUCUCCCUGGUGACCAAGUGGCUUAUUGUCCAUGAAGGGAGGUUUGUAAGAGGAAGGGAGGCUUGUAAGUAUCGCAUUUUAGGACACGCUGUGGAAGCCAGGACUGCCCUGCGCAGCAGCCACUGUGAACAGCUUGUGAUUCAUGUGAGUCUCCCUGGACUUCUUCCAGCUUACAGAAAAAUAAUAAUGCAAUG